rnacentral:rRNA from 1 species
UUAACACAUGCAAGUCGAACGCUGAAGCUUAGUGCUUGCACUGGGUGGAUGAGUGGCGAACGGGUGAGUAAUACGUGAGUAACCUGCCCUUGACUCUGGGAUAAGCCUGGGAAACUGGGUCUAAUACUGGAUAUGACCUCCUGUCGCAUGGUGGGGGGUGGAAAGGGUUUGUACUGGUUGUGGAUGGGCUCACGGCCUAUCAGCUUGUUGGUGGGGUAAUGGCCUACCAAGGCGACGACGGGUAGCCGGCCUGAGAGGGUGACCGGCCACACUGGGACUGAGACACGGCCCAGACUCCUACGGGAGGCAGCAGUGGGGAAUAUUGCACAAUGGGCGCAAGCCUGAUGCAGCGACGCCGCGUGAGGGAUGACGGCCUUCGGGUUGUAAACCUCUUUCAGCACGGAAGAAGCGAAAGUGACGGUACGUGCAGAAGAAGCGCCGGCUAACUACGUGCCAGCAGCCGCGGUAAUACGUAGGGCGCAAGCGUUGUCCGGAAUUAUUGGGCGUAAAGAGCUCGUAGGCGGUUUGUCGCGUCUGCUGUGAAAGCCCGGGGCUUAACCCCGGGUGUGCAGUGGGUACGGGCAGACUUGAGUGCAGUAGGGGAGACUGGAACUCCUGGUGUAGCGGUGAAAUGCGCAGAUAUCAGGAAGAACACCGAUGGCGAAGGCAGGUCUCUGGGCUGUUACUGACGCUGAGGAGCGAAAGCAUGGGGAGCGAACAGGAUUAGAUACCCUGGUAGUCCAUGCCGUAAACGUUGGGCACUAGGUG